GAUGAACGCUGGCGGCGUGCUUAACACAUGCAAGUCGAACGGUGAACACGGAGCUUGCUCUGUGGGAUCAGUGGCGAACGGGUGAGUAACACGUGAGCAACCUGCCCCUGACUCUGGGAUAAGCGCUGGAAACGGCGUCUAAUACUGGAUAUGUGCCGUGACCGCAUGGUCUGCGUUUGGAAAGAUUUUUCGGUUGGGGAUGGGCUCGCGGCCUAUCAGCUUGUUGGUGAGGUAAUGGCUCACCAAGGCGUCGACGGGUAGCCGGCCUGAGAGGGUGACCGGCCACACUGGGACUGAGACACGGCCCAGACUCCUACGGGAGGCAGCAGUGGGGAAUAUUGCACAAUGGGCGCAAGCCUGAUGCAGCAACGCCGCGUGAGGGAUGACGGCCUUCGGGUUGUAAACCUCUUUUAGCAGGGAAGAAGCGAAAGUGACGGUACCUGCAGAAAAAGCGCCGGCUAACUACGUG
rnacentral:rRNA from 1 species